rnacentral:rRNA from 1 species
GACGAACGCUGGCGGCGUGCCUAACACAUGCAAGUCGAACGGAAAGGCCCUGCGUUUGUGGGGUGCUCGAGUGGCGAACGGGUGAGUAACACGUGAGUAACCUGCCCUUGACUUUGGGAUAACAUCAGGAAAAUGGGGCUAAUACCGGAUAGGAGCUCCUGCAGCAUGGUGGGGGUUGGAAAGAUUCGGCGGUUUGGGAUGGACUCGAGGGUUAUGCGCUUGAUUGUGGGGUAGUGGCUUACAAAGGCUUUGAAGGGUAGCCUGCCUGGGAGGGUUGCCGGCGACCUUGGGACUGCGGUACGGCCCAGACUCCUACGGGAGGCAGUGGGGGGGAAUAUUGCGGAAUGGGCCGAAGCCUGAUGCGGCAACGCCGCGUGCGGGAUGACGGCCUUCGGGUUGUAAACCGCUUUCGCCUGUGACGAGGCGUGAGUGACGGUAAUGGGUAAAGAAGCACCGGCUAACUACGUG